UUGUUUUAUUGACAUUUCAAAUGCUAUCCACUUUUCUUGUUACAGGUCUAUAAAACCCCUAUGCCAUCCCUUUUCCCCCAUAGUGUAUGAGGAUGUUCUCAAACACAUCCACCCAGCACCUCCUGCCUCACUGCCAUGAUAUAGCCCAACAUUGAGGGGAACAGCCUUGGCAAGAACAAGGAAUUCUCCUCCCAGUGCUGCUUCACAAGACCACCCUCUGCUACACAUGCAGCUGCAGCCACAGAUCUGUCCACAUGUAAUCUUUGGUGAUGGUUUAGUUCCCAGAGCUCUGCAUGCUAGGUAUUAUUGUUCUUAUGUGGUUGCAAACCCUUUCACCUGCUUCUAAUCUUUCUCUAAGUCCUCAUCCUCCAAUGGGGUAUCCAUUCUCAUAUCAAUGGUUGACUUCAAGCAUUCACCUCUGUAUUUGUCAUGCUCUGGCAGAGACUAUGAGGAGACAAGUAUAGCAGGCUCCUGUCGACAUGCACUUCUUGGCAUCAGCAAUUUUGUCUGGGUUAUGUUUCUGUUUGUAUAUGGGAUAGAUUCCUAGGUGGGGCAGUCUGUGAAUGGCCAUUACUUCAGUCUGUGUUCCAACCAUUGUCUCCAUAUCUCCACCUUUGAAUAUUUAUCUUCCCCUUUCUAAGACCAACUGACACAUCAACACUUUGGUCAUCCUUCUUCUUGAGAUUCAUUUGGUCUGUGGAUUGUAGCUUGGCAAAUCUGAGCUUUGGGGCUAAUAUCCACUUGCAAAGCUUCUGUAAGAUACAGGACACUGUCAUGAGGACAAAACAGCAACCACCUGAUUCAGAAAAGAUCUUUACCAAUCCUAUAUCUGAUAGAGGGAUACUAUCCAAUGUGUGCAAGAAUUCAAGAUGUUAGUUUCCAGAAAAUCAAAUAACUCAAUUAAUAAAUCAGGUACAGAGCAAAAAUUAAUUCCCAGCAGUGGAAUAUUGAAUGGCUGCAAAGUAAUUCAAGUAGUAUUUACCAUGUUCAGUAAUCAGGUGAAUGCAAAUCAAAACAACCCUGAGAUUUCACCUCCUAAUAGAGUGGCUAAGUUCAAAAACUCAGGUGACAACAGAUGCUGGCAAGGAUGUGGAGACAAAGGAACCAUCCUCCAUUCUUGGUGGGAUGGCAAGCUGGUCGAACCACUCUGGAAAUCAGUCUGGAAGUUUCUCAGAAAUGUGGACACAAUACUACCUGAGGAUCCAGCAAUACUAUUCCUGGCCAUAUUCCCAAAAGAUGCUCCAACCUAGAACAAAGACAAAUCCUCUGCUGUGCUUGUAGCAGCCUUGUUUAUGAAGCUGGAAAGAACACAGAUGUCUUUCAACAGAGGACUGUAUGGAGAAAAUGUAUGUUUACUCAAGGGAGUACUACUCAGCUAUUCUCAGUCCACUGGCAAAUGAAGAAUAAAGUUUCAUAGAUGUGAAAAACAAAGCUAUAAAAACACAUUUUUGAGAAAUACCAUCAUGAUGCCUAUGACAAACUUGUGACCUUUCUGAGAGAGACAUUGGAUGUGAGGAUGCCCAGUGAUAUGAUAAAGUUUUGGUUAUCAAGGUAUUGAGGCAAUUCUGACUGAGAUAAAGUUAAGACAAAACAAAAACAACUGUUCUCAGAAAGACCCCCUACCCCUUCCUGUGAGAGAUACAUGAACAACUGUAAGAUGUCAUCCUGUCCCUGCCUGAACACACAUUUUACCCCGCUUCUAAGAGACAUGCCAAGUUAGCACUUUCCCUGUGAUUCUCCAAGGCCACGUGUAGGGCUAGAUGAAGAAAGUGACAAACUGAGACAAGAACAGCCCCUUGAGCAGGACAGCCAAUACCUGACCAGAUCCUCUGUGCUGUGUACCACCAAUAAGAAUAAGCCAGCUAACCCUGUUACUGAAGUCUGCCCUCUGUAAUGAAUCAAAUUUGUGUCCUUUUUGGGUUCAGGGUUUCCUCUAUCUGCGUGGAUGAGAAACCCCAAGUAUGUGGAUUAAAAACCUUAUACUCUUCAAGCUAUUGUGGCUGUCACUUUGCCAUUCUGUGAUCUUUGGGUUCUGCUCCUGAUGUAAGGCCACAAUGUGGUCUUACAACAUUUCAGCACAUUGGCCGGAAACUGCACUCCCAGCAGACCACAAUUGGCAAACAGAUUGGAGGUAAGAUCGAGCAAAACUGUGUUCUGUGUUCUGUGUUCUGUGUUCUGUGUUCUGUGUUCUGUGUUCUGUGUUACUUUCUGUUUGGUCUCUAUGUCAUGUUGUCUUACCUUUGUUUCAUGUUGUCUUCUGUUGUCCAUGUCAGCUGUCUGAGGGGUUCGAGUCCCCACACUGCUGGUCUCAGGCCAAGUGAGAUCAACUUGUUUCUGGGAGGUUUGAGUCUGCCUGGAGAGGCAUUAGAGUCCCCUCAGUGGUCACUGUGGGUCCUGUGAGAGACUUACAGCUGUUACAGGCAGACAUGCUAGUUGUCACAGGCCACAGGCCCUAGAGGAUGCUCUAGGAGGAGAAAGGAGUCUAGAGGACACGCUAGAAUCCUGUUGGGAAGUGGGAUCAGAUAGUUCAUCUCAUCCCGGAAGCAGCCAAGUUUCAGCUACAGUUUGGUCCAGGUACUGAAAGUAUUAGGAAUUUUUGGAAAUCGGUUAUAGGAUGCCUUGUCUUGGUCUUGUUUGUCUUGUUUGAUUUCUGUGGUAUUGUCAUGUGUUUUUGGCUUUUGUUUCAUUUUUGGACUUGGAUUGAUGACUGUGUUUGAAAUCAUGGAACUGUUUGUUUUGUUUGUCAAAGAAUUUUACUUGGUUCUCUUGGUGCAUAGCUUAGAAAUAAUUUGCUUGAGAGAAAUUGUUUUCUGCCUGGGAGUUUUGCCUUUCUCUCUUGAACCUUCUUCCAAGGAGAAGAGGGUGGAAAGUACGAAGGCCAUGAGCAUACAACCUGCAGGAUGCAGGUGGGCAUUUGUGCAGCUCAGACAGAGACAGCGCGAGAGGAGUUUCAAGAUUCCAAGAACAACCGCAAGAUGUCAUCCUGACCCUGCAGGACCACCCAGUUCACCCCCAUCUAAGAGAUGUGCCAACUUAGCCCUUUCCCAGUGAGUCUCCAAGGCCAGGUGAAGGGCUGGAAGAGGAAACUGACGAGUUGAGCCAAGAAGAACCCCUUGAAGAGGCCAUCCAACAUCUGACCAGAUCCUUUGUCCUGUGUACCACCAAUGAGAAUAAACCAGCUAACCCUGUUGCUGAAGUCUGCCCUCUGUAACAAA